GACGAACGCUGGCGGCGUGCUUAACACAUGCAAGUCGAGGGGUCGUCGGGGGCAACCCCGGCGGCACCGGCGAACGGGUGCGUGACACGUGAGCGACCUGCCCGCUUGUGGGGGAUAGCCGGCCCAACGGCCGGGUAAUACCGCAUACGCUCUUCCGGGGGCAUCCCCGGGGGAGGAAACUCAGGUGCAGGCGGAGGGGCUCGCGGCCUAUCAGCUAGUUGGCGGGGUAACGGCCCACCAAGGCGGUGACGGGUAGCUGGUCUGAGAGGAUGGCCAGCCACAUUGGGACUGAGAGACGGCCCAGACUCCUACGGGAGGCAGCAGUGGGGAAUCUUGCGCAGUGGCCGCAAGGCUGACGCAGCGACGCCGCGUGGGGGAGGAAGGGCUUCGGCUCGUAAACCCCUGUUGCCCGGGACGAACGGCCCGUUCGACGGGCGUGACGGUACCGGGUGAGGAAGCACCGGCUAACUCCGUGCCAGCCGCCGC
rnacentral:rRNA from 1 species